CGUGUAGGCGGCUUGGUAAGUCAGAUGUGAAAGCCCUCGGCUUAACCGAGGAAGUGCGUCUGAAACUGCCGAGCUUGAGUAGCGGAGAGGAUGGCGGAAUUCUGCAAGUAGAGGUGAAAUUCGUAGAUAUGCAGAGGAACACCGGUGGCGAAGGCGGCCAUCUGGACGCUAACUGACGCUGAGACGCGAAAGCGUGGGAGCAAACA
rnacentral:rRNA from 1 species